rnacentral:rRNA from 1 species
GGGACACGUGGUAUCCUGUCUGAAUAUGGGGGGACCAUCCUCCAAGGCUAAAUACUCCUGACUGACCGAUAGUGAACCAGUACCGUGAGGGAAAGGCGAAAAGAACCCCGGCGAGGGGAGUGAAAAAGAACCUGAAACCGUGUACGUACAAGCAGUGGGAGCACGCUUAGGCGUGUGACUGCGUACCUUUUGUAUAAUGGGUCAGCGACUUAUAUUCUGUAGCAAGGUUAACCGAAUAGGGGAGCCGAAGGGAAACCGAGUCUUAACUGGGCGUUAAGUUGCAGGGUAUAGACCCGAAACCCGGUGAUCUAGCCAUGGGCAGGUUGAAGGUUGGGUAACACUAACUGGAGGACCGAACCGACUAAUGUUGAAAAAUUAGCGGAUGACUUGUGGCUGGGGGUGAAAGGCCAAUCAAACCGGGAGAUAGCUGGUUCUCCCCGAAAGCUAUUUAGGUAGCGCCUCGUGAAUUCAUCUUCGGGGGUAGAGCACUGUUUCGGCAAGGGGGUCAUCCCGACUUACCAACCCGAUGCAAACUGCGAAUACCGGAGAAUGUUAUCACGGGAGACACACGGCGGGUGCUAACGUCCGUCGUGAAGAGGGAAACAACCCAGACCGCCAGCUAAGGUCCCAAAGUCAUGGUUAAGUGGGAAACGAUGUGGGAAGGCCCAGACAGCCAGGAUGUUGGCUUAGAAGCAGCCAUCAUUUAAAGAAAGCGUAAUAGCUCACUGGUCGAGUCGGCCUGCGCGGAAGAUGUAACGGGGCUAAACCAUGCACCGAAGCUGCGGCAGCGACGCUGAUGCGUUGUUGGGUAGGGGAGCGUUCUGUAAGCCUGCGAAGGUGUGCUGUGAGG